GCGGCCGGGCGGCCAUUCAGGAGAGGCCGUUUCGCAACAGCUCUUUUACUGCAGACAAAGCCUCCUUGUAAGUCCCUCUGCUGCCCCCGAAUAACCACGUUCGGAGUAAGAAAAAUAGAGCUGCUGCGCCCGUCAGGCAGCCAGACAAUAGCGGCGGGCGGGCCGCUCCACGCCACAGGGCAAAACACCAUCAUCUUUGUUUCCACUGCGUCCCUAAGAUGAAGUCUCUAGAUACUAUCGUAGCGACGCGGCCGCGGAGGGGGAAACGACCGCGGCCCGCCGACCUCAUCCGUUCCCUUCUGGGGGCUGGGCCGCGGCGGCCACCUCUGGAAGCGGAGGCCCGCGCGCUUCGCCGUCGCCCCUCGGAGGCGGAGGAGGCAGCGCGGCGGCGUCGCUUGGCGCCGCGCCCACGCCGACGACCCGGCUCCCGCGCCCGGUGGCCGAGGAGGGAAGUAGCGCCGUCCGCGCGCGGAGGGAAACGCCGGGGCGGCGCGGCGUGAAGCGCCCAGGCACGCGGCCCGAUCGGCGGCCCGCGCGGUGACGCGGUGUGGCGGUAGCUGCGGCCGCCCCUCCGCGCCCCCGGAACUCCGCGGCGGUCCCGCCUCCGCUCGUGGAAGUGGCCGCGGCGGGCCGCUCAGCGGCAGCCGGCUGCUCCCCCGAGGCCGGCGGCUGCGCCGGGGGCUCCGACCUCGGGGAGCCUCCGCGCGGCCUGAGUCCCGAGCUGUCCGGCCCCAGCCUGUGCGAGGCCAGGCCCCAUCCGCCCCUGGAGCUGGACGGCAGGUGCCGCAGGUCGGGCUCCGGGGCGUGGUGUGCGGAGCCGCCGGGCUGACCGACUGGCGGGAGUCGGCCUGGGGCCCCUCCUCAGACUCCACGGCUGGGCUCCCUGAGCCUUGGGCCCCUCCACGGUGAAGCAGGAUGGUUGUGAGCAUUCCAGGCUGAUUCAUCUAAUGGGAAUUUGAAUGCUGGUGGAAAACUGUACAGAAAAUCCAGUGCUCUGGAAAGUGAUUCCGGAAAGGAGUAAAAAGAAGACUGCUAUUCAAGAAAGUACCUUACUUUUGGUUAAUUCUAAUAGGUCAUUCCAUUUUGGGCCCUUUAGUUUCUUUUUUCAUCUUCCUAUAAUUUUGUUUAUGUAUUCAGUACAACACCCAGUGCUCAUCACAAGUGCCCUCCUUAGUACCCAUUGCCCAUCUAGCCCAUCUCCCACCCACCUCCCUUCAUCAACCCUCAGUUUGUUCUGUCGUUAAGAGUCUCUUAUGGUCAGGGGCGCCUGGGUGGCUCAGUCGGUUGAGCGACUGACUUCGGCUCAGGUCAUGAUCUCACGGUUUGUGAGCUCAAGCCCAUUGGGCUCUGUUGACAGCUCGGAGCUUCAGACUCUGUCUGCCCUUCUCUCUCUGCCCCUCCCCUCCUUGUGCUCUGUCUCUC